UUUAUUUCUUCUGUGCCCUUUUGCAACUAAUUUAUGGACUUGGCUUGGUGGCAAACUUAACUGUUUGAUAGAUUGUAAGUCAGCUCUUUCUCUUUUAUCUUGCAUUCCUGGUCAGUGCUCUUCUCAGAUAGCGGAUAUAUACCUCGCGGCCGUAAUUCACACCGUUCAUGCUAUUUGGCUCGCUCGGAAUAACAUUCAGUUCUCUUCGACUACUACAACCUUUCACUCCGCAAAGGUCCGCAUUCACUCUUGGAUCGCUAUGUCUGGUACUACCUCGACUGGGAAUUGCUUGCCUUCGGACUCGCAUUUACUAGAUUCUUUUGCGGUUGCUGCUCAUUGUCGCACUAUUAGGGAGAUCAUCCCGGUGUUGUGGAAGGCUCCAACCUCUCC
rnacentral:lncRNA from 1 species